rnacentral:rRNA from 1 species
CCACACGACUCUCGGCAACGGAUAUCUCGGCUCUCGCAUCGAUGAAGAACGUAGCAAAAUGCGAUACCUGGUGUGAAUUGCAGAAUCCCGCGAACCAUCGAGUUUUUGAACGCAAGUUGCGCCCGAGGCCUUCUGGCCGAKGGCACGCCUGCCUGGGCGUCACGC